UUGAAUCGAUUUGUUUUGGUUUUAGGUUGAGAUCGAAUACUUAAGAAACGACACAAGAUUUGUUCACCUGAUGUUCGCUGAUCUACUCACCGGGGAGGGAAUCUGAUCCCUCAACAACUUCACUAUCACUUUAUGAUCACAAGUACAAGAUCUCAACAAUGACAACACACGCCAAAACAAAGAAAGCGUUAAAGAAGUUAGCAAGCUUAUCGUAUCCUCUGUGAAGCCAGAAAGUCGCCGCCGGAAUGGUUCAGCUUAACCGUGUACCGCGUUCGCAACUCCGUCGUACUUCACCCUCACGAUCUCGAGUUAAGUCACCUUCUCUAUCUCUCUCUCGAUCUCUAAUUUUGA
rnacentral:lncRNA from 1 species